UACGUGAGGGUGCAAGCGUUAAUCGGAAUUACUGGGCGUAAGCGUGCGCAGGCGGUUUUGUAAGUCAGAAUCGGUGAAAUCCCCCGGGCUUAACCCUGGGAAUGGCAUUGGUGACUGUACGGCUAGAGUGUGUCAGAGGGGGUAGAAUUCACGUGUAGCAGUGAAAUGCGUAGAGAUGAUGGAGGAAUACCGAUGGCGAAGGCAGCCC
rnacentral:rRNA from 1 species